CAAUAGCGUAUAUUUAAGUUGUUGCAGUUAAAAAGCUCGUAGUUGGAUUUCGGAUGGGAUCUGCCGGUCCGCCUUUGAGAUGUGUACUGGUAGGUCCUAUCUUGUUGUCGGGGACCAGCUCCUGGGCUUCACUGUCCGGGACUGGGAGCCGACGAAGUUACUUUGAGUAAAUUAGAGUGUUCAAAGCAAGCCUACGCUCUGAAUAUAUUAGCAUGGAAUAACACGAUAGGACUCUGGCUUAUCUUGUUGGUCUGUGAGACCAGAGUAAUGAUUAAGAGGGACAGUCGGGGACAUUCGUAUUUCAUUGUCAGAGGUGAAAUUCUUGGAUUUAUGAAAGACGAACUUCUGCGAAAGCAUUUGUCAAGGAUGUUUUCAUUAA
rnacentral:rRNA from 1 species